AAGUGGGGCUGAAGGAAAACACGGUGAGGAGCCGGGCCCGGACAGGAAGCGGCGGGGGACCGCAGCGGCGCUGGUGAGUGCUCCGGGGCGCCGUCUCGUCGCGUCCCUCCGGGACUCGCCUCCGGGCUGGGCCCGUGGGUUCCCCCCGCCCCCAGAAGCGUAUCUGCCCGGCCCCGAGGUACGUUGGCGCCGUCCUUCUCCGGCCGCCUCGGCCCGGCUGUGCGCCCGGAGCCCUCGGGUUCGAGUCCGCGUCUUCACUUUGUGUCGGGGCUCCGGCCCUGGUCCGGGGAACCCCGGAACCCUGUCAAUGGCCGGGCGCUUCCUGCUUCCUAUUCCCCACGGCGGCUUCGUGGCCAGUAGCGCGGAACCGCCUCCUCCUUCGCCUGGGGACUCCGCUGGUGGAAACUGAGGCACACAGGGGUGGGGCAGCCGAAUGGGGAAGGAAAAGGAGUGUCAUCCUGCGGAGGAUUGUGGUUGGUGACGAAACUGGACUUGUCUGGGGCUGGGGACUGAGAAGUCGGGUACAAAGUAAGAAAGUUGAAGUCAAAGACCAUGGGAGAUACAGCAAAACCUUACUUUGUGAAGCGCACUAAAGACCGUGGAAUUAUUGAUGAUGAUGAUUUCAGAAGGGGCCAUCCCCAACAAGAUUAUUUAAUAAUGGAUGAUUAUGCUAAAGGCCAUAGCAGUAAAAUGGAAAAGGGCCUUCCAAAAAAGAAGAUAUCACCCGGGAACUAUGGGAACACCCCCAGGAAAGGACUGUAUGGGGUUUCCAGCAAUCCAUAUGCAUUUAAAAACCCAAUUUACAGUCAGCCUGCUUGGAUGAAUGAUAACCACAAAGAUCAAAAUAAAAAAUGGCUAUCUGAUGAACUCGCUGGUAAUGCAGACAGCUGGAGAGAGUUCAAGCCCGGACCUAGGAUUCCUGUCAUAAGCCGCUCAAGGAAGGAAUCCUUUCAGGAAAGUGACGAUGCCUACAGGUGGCAGGAGGGGAGAGGCUGCAGAGCUGUGAGAAGGCUGUUUCAGAAAGACCUCAGCAGCCUAGAAGCCAUGUCAGAAAUGGAAGCAGGAAGUCCUGAAAACAAGAAACAGCGGUCCAGACCUCGUAAGCCACGGAGGACUAGAACGGAGGACAGUGAGCAGGAUGGAGAUCUGGACGGUCCUGUCAUCGACGAGUCUGUCCUUUCAACCAAGGAGCUGUUGGGCCUCCAGCAGGCUGAGGAACGGCUCAAGAGAGACUGCAUCGACAGGCUGAAAAGGCGACCACGAAACUGCCCGACAGCAAAGUAUACCUGCAAACUGUGCGAUGCUUUGAUUGACUCCAUUCCGUUUGCUCAUAAGCACAUCAAGGAGAAGAGGCACAAGAAGAACCUUAAGGAAAAGCAGGAGGAAGAAUUGCUCACCACACUGCCCCCGCCAGCGCCCUCCCAGAUACAUGCAGUUGGCAGCGCCAUUGACAGAGUGGUGCAGGAGUUUGGUUUACACAGUGAAAACUUGGAUCAGAGACUAGAAAUUAAGCGUGUCAUGGAAAGUGUGUUCCGGCACAAGCUACCAGACUGUUCUCUUAGGCUUUAUGGAUCCUCCUGUAGCCGACUGGGCUUCAGAGACUCUGACGUGAACAUUGAUGUUCAGUUUCCAGCUGUCAUGUCUCAGCCAGAUGUCCUCUUACUUGUUCAAGAAUGUUUAAAGAACAGUGACUCCUUUAUUGAUGUUGAUGCUGAUUUCCAUGCCCGGGUCCCUGUGGUGGUGUGCAGAGAUAAGCAAAGCGGCCUUCUUUGUAAAGUAAGUGCAGGAAACGAAAACGCUUGGCUGACCACAAAGCACCUAACAGCUCUUGGAAAACUAGAGCCAAGGCUGGUUCCUCUGGUGAUUGCAUUCAGAUACUGGGCAAAGCUUUGUAGUAUUGAUCGCCCCGAAGAAGGAGGCCUGCCACCAUAUGUGUUUGCUCUGAUGGCUGUUUUCUUCCUUCAGCAAAGAAAAGAACCUCUCUUGCCAGUUUAUCUAGGAUCAUGGAUUGAAGAAUUCUCAUUAAAUAAAUUAGGGAAUUUCAGCCUUAAAGAUGUUGAGAAAGACUCUGUGGUCUGGGAAUACACUGACAACAGCACAGGGGACACCAGCUCAGCAAAAGAGGAGGCACCCAAAGAGACUGCAGCAAAGAAGGGACAGGUGCCAUUGACAUUUAAUAUAAAGCAUCAGCCUUCAGUGCCAGUCGGGCAACUCUGGGUGGAAUUGCUGCGGUUCUAUGCUUUAGAGUUUAAUCUGGCUGAUUUAGUGAUCAGUAUUCGUGUCAAAGAAUUAAUAUCACGGGAAUCAAAGGACUGGCCCAAAAAGCGUAUCGCAAUUGAAGACCCCUAUUCUGUUAAAAGAAAUGUGGCAAGGACCCUGAAUAACCAGCCUGUGUUUGAGUAUAUACUCCAUUGUUUGAGGACAACAUAUAAAUAUUUCGCUCUUCCACACAAAGUUACAAAACCCAACCUCACAAAGCCUCCUAGCCCAGUCACCUGUGUUUCAGACCCUUACAGAGAAGCAAAAAAUGGUGGCCCAGAACCCCAAGCAACAAAUAUUGAUAAACUGGGAAAUGCAGCUGUGGCUCAAGAUCCUGGUGUUCAAACCUCAGGUGACUGCAGAGCACAGCUAGUUACUCUUAAGAAUACCACUGAGGAGGUGGGAAGCCCAGCAAAGGAGAAGACAGGAGGUGUGCACAUCCCAGCCCACCAGGAGAGCUCUGGCUGUGUCCAGGCAGAGGUCAGUUGUGAGGGUUUGGAGGAUGCCACAGCAGAGCUUCCGGAAACAGGAAGUGACAACGAGGAAGUCAGAAGGAAGACCAAGCAUCCUUUGAGCACUGAUGACCAAGGUUUAAGCAGCAGCAAGCACCCAGAACUGCAGAACUGUGGCAGCCUGUGUGGUCUGCAGGCAGACAACACUCUGGAGUUAGUAGCUGAAGAGUGUAAUAGCUGUGCCUCUUUGGACAACAAGGCUGAGGUCAAUGAAGAGAGGAUAGAAGGCGCUGAGGAACUAGAAGAAGCAGCAGCUCUGAGUUGCUUUUCCCCUUCAGUACAGAGUCGCACAUCUGCAGCCAUGCACUUUGAUGAUGAGGAGGAGGAGGAGGAAGAAGAGGAGGAAGAGGAGCCCAGGCUCAGCAUUAACCUUACAGAAGAUGAGGAGGGGGUUGCUAAUGAGCAUCAGGUGGACAGCAGGUAUGCUGGGUCAGGUGAGGAGGAUGCCCUCUCUGAAGAAGAUGACUUGGCAGAGCCUGCUAAGGGUGAAGAUACAGGAGAAUGUGGAGAAAACGUGGGUGGGACUCUGCUCAUAGACCUAAAUAGAAUAACACUUAAAGAAGAAAGCUUUCCUGAGGAAGAUUUACCUGGGGACCAGUCUGAGUUCUUCUACGAAUUUAGAAAACUGACCUUCACCAAAGGCAAGUCCCCCACAGUAGUGUGCAGCUUGUGUAAGCGAGAAGGUCACCUAAAGAAGGACUGUCCUGAGGACUUCAAGAGGGUCCAGCUGGAGCCGUUGCCACCCCUGACACCCAAGUUCUCAAACAUCUUAGAUCAAGUCUGCGUCCAGUGUUACAAGGAUUUUUCUCCAACUAUUGUAGAAGAUCAGGCUCGUGAACAUAUCCGGCAAAAUCUAGAAAGUUUCAUAAAACAGGAUUUUCCAGGAACUAAAUUGAGCUUGUUUGGCUCCUCCAAAAAUGGAUUUGGGUUCAAACAGAGUGACCUUGACGUCUGUAUGACGAUUAACGGACAUGAGACUGCUGAGGGGCUGGACUGUGUAAGAACUAUUGAGGAGCUGGCUCGAGUCCUCAGAAAGCACUCAGGGUUGAGGAAUAUCCUUCCUAUCACAACAGCCAAGGUGCCCAUCGUGAAGUUCUUCCAUCUAAGAAGUGGUCUGGAAGUGGACAUCAGCUUGUAUAACACACUGGCGCUUCAUAACACAAGGCUCUUGUCUGCAUACUCAGCCAUUGACCCCAGAGUGAAGUAUCUGUGCUACACCAUGAAAGUGUUCACAAAGAUGUGUGACAUCGGUGACGCGUCCAGAGGCAGCUUGUCAUCCUACGCUUACACUCUUAUGGUGCUAUACUUCCUCCAGCAAAGGUCUCCACCUGUCAUCCCCGUGCUUCAAGAGAUAUACAAAGGUGAAAAGAAACCAGAAAUACUUGUUGAUGGCUGGAAUAUUUACUUUUUCGAUCAAAUAAAUGAACUGCCCACUUGUUGGCCAGAAUAUGGGAAAAAUACAGAACCUGUCGGGCAGCUGUGGCUGGGACUUCUGCGCUUCUACACUGAGGAGUUUGACUUUAAGGAGCACGUGAUCAGCAUCAGAAGAAAGAGUCUGCUUACAACUUUUAAGAAACAGUGGACCUCAAAAUACAUUGUUAUUGAAGAUCCCUUCGAUUUGAAUCACAAUCUUGGUGCUGGAUUAUCGAGGAAAAUGACAAAUUUUAUAAUGAAAGCUUUUAUCAAUGGUAGAAGAGUAUUUGGAAUUCCAGUCAAAGGAUUUCCAAAGGACAACCCCUCAAAACUGGCAUACUUUUUUGAUCCGGAUGUCCUAACUGAGGGAGAACUGGCCCCAAAUGACAGGUGCUGCCGAAUUUGUGGGAAAAUCGGGCACUUCAUGAAGGACUGUCCCAUGAGGAGGAAAGUGAGGCGACGGAGAGACCAGGAAGAUACCCCAAACCAAAGGUACUCUGAGAGCAAAGAAAAAAGAAGCAAAGAGGACAAAGAGAUUCAGAACAAGUACACAGAAAAGGAAGUGUCAACAAAAGAAGAUAAGCUCACACCGUGUGCAGCUGCGAAAGCCAAGCCAGUGAGGGCAGCUGUCGACCUGGGCCGGGAGAAGCUCCUCAGGACGCCCACAGAAAAGUGGAAGAGACAGGACGACAGAGACUCGAGAGAAAAGCGUUGUUUCAUCUGUGGAAGAGAAGGACACAUUAAAAAGGAAUGCCCACAGUUCAAAGGCUCUCCAGGUUUGUGUAAGUCAGAUUAUGUGUCUGCAUACUCUUCACCUAGCCCAUUGAGACCAGUUGCUCAGGUAAACGCCAGCCCAAACCUGAGAGGGGAGCCCCCCCCAUCCUCUUCACCCUCACAGCCUUUGGGAGUGCUUGCAGCUGUGUGCUGGGCCCUCCCGGCUGGCCUCUGGUGCUUGCUCCUUCUGUCUCCCACAUACUGUGUGGGAAGGCUUGUUGGGCCCUGGUAGUAGGGGCUUUGGUAGAUGGCUCCUGCAUUCAUGUCUGUCUUUCCAACUAACUUGGGCCAACCUCGUGCCUAACCCCAGCUCUUCUUGGAUGCGGUCUGAGGCUGUUUCUGUUGCUUUAUCUUCAGUUUUUGUAAACCAGUCUAUUUCAUUUUUUAGGCAGUGCUUUUACAUGAAGACAAAAAGAAACAAAAAACAACCAUAUUUUUGAGUCCCCAGUCAGGUAGCCUUUCCAGUAAAUAUAUGACUCAGGGGAGAGCCUCAGUGAAGAGGACCCAGCAGGAAUCAUGAGGGAAGGAACUGCAGCACUGGAAAUGCCACUCAGGUGUCCGUGGCCACUUGGGAAAUUAGGUUCAUGGCACAGGACACAGUGACACAGAUCAGGCUUCAACGUAACAGUUGAGGGGCAUCGUAAUUUUUUAAAUUUUAAUGAAAUUGUUAAUAAGGAAAAGAAAAAUUUUAAUAUAGUCUAACUAUACCACCAAUCUCCAGAGAUUUGAAGAUUUUAAUAGAAAGUCAACUUAAAAGAAAAAUAUGAGGGCCAGAAUUCAAUGACUACAGCGUCAUGGAUUUUAGUUCUUUCAAAGCACUCUAAAAAUAGUGUGCUGCUCACCAGAGGAGUUAGCCCUCUUUCCCUACACAUCCCCUUUUUGAUUUCCAAGAGGGGAUUCUCUCUGUUGUUCCUGGAUCGUGGUAUGGACGCACAUCAAGGACAUGUGGACUAUACUGCUGUACAUAGGGUCUACAAGCAUUCUUCAUGGCUCAUUGUAGAAAUGAUAGCAUGGAAUGCAAGCACCUGUCAGUGUGGGCCUCGGUGGACGACCACAGCACCACUGGCACAUCUUUGAGGGCUUCCUUCUCUAAGUAAUUGACAGAACUGUUGUGCUCAUAAAAAUGAAGUCAUAAAAAUAAGUAGUCCUUUUUUGCUGGUUUAAAAAAGAAAAAUUAAAGGAGAAAAGGACAGAAUAAAAGUGCUUUUUACUUUUUAUGAUACACAGAAAUUAGGGUGGAGAGCUUUUACAAACCUCUGAAGAUCAAAGAGGCUGCUGUCUCUGCCAAUCACAAGUUUGAUUGGCAACCUUCUGGUCUGACUGGAGCCCUCUCUAAACUGUUAAUGAACUUCACAAGCCUUUCUGAAAUAGUACAGAGUCAGAACUAUGCCGGUUUAUUUAUCAUUUUGAAAUAAAAUCGAACUUUGAACGUGUAA